ACUUCCAGUUGAUGAUUUCCUGGCAGUUUGGAGUAUUCCAGUAGCACACCAAACAACUUUUGCUGCAGGACACUAAAUGAAUAGAUGAGAGCAAGUUACCGUGGCUUGGAGACACAUGGGGCAGCUGUCUAAAUCAGGUAUGGUCUUCUUGUGUAAAUUUUGACAUGUGUUUAGUCUUCGGGUAUGCAGUAGCCAUAAAAAACAUUGUUGGGCACCCUUGAGGACCAAACCAGAG
rnacentral:lncRNA from 1 species